UUUCUCUUUAGGACAGUGCCAGGGAAUACAUGGGACAGUGGACUCCAGGCUCAUGCCACUUCUGACUCCCCACUGGCCCACCAAGGCUCAGAUGGUUGACUUGCAUCAAGCUCCUCACAGACAUGGGAAUACAUUUACCCAGAAAGGUCCACAGUGCACAUUGGCUUUGCUGAUAAACUUAUCAGCAGCAGAGUGAAACAUCCGUUUCAUUUGUACUGUUUAUGCAGAGGCUUUUUUUCUGGUUGAAGGACCACAGAGAGACAAGUGGGUAGGAAUGGCAACAAUCCUCCCAACAAGCUCAGGCACCCCUGGCAGCAGCCACACCCGCCCUUCACCCACUCAGCAUGUCACGUCAUGUGCUGCAUGAGACAGCACCCAGAGCUCAUCUGAAGCACACACAGGACAUGACCAAUUACCUUUCCUCUGCUUAGACUCACCAAGAGGGACAUUUUGAAACUGUUCUUUCCGAAAAGCACUAAGUGACAAAGCCAGCUCUGUGCAAAGCCAGCAGAGGUGGAGGGCACUGCUGACAGCUCAUAGGAUAAAGCUCAUGUUUGGAUUUUACUGCCUUAUUGGAGAACUCCCUGGGUAAUUUUCUGGGUAUUUUCUAGGUUACUUCCUUAUUGCUCUCUGGGUAAAC